GUUAGCCCUGGUUUGUACCACACUCAAGCAAAUUACUUCCAGUUCUAAGAGGAAAACUGUCUAUGAGGUUUCCCAUGAAGAAGCUGAUCUAAUCCAUUUUAGCUGGUCACUUGCACUGCAGAGUGAAUAUGUGGGAUACAGGACUCUACUCAGCCAACCCUUGGAAUUGCAGCCCACCAGAAAACUCCAUCUCAGGUUUGGCUGGGAUGACUUCAAGCACUUGAAAGCAGGUGCAGGGAAUGCUUUCCAGCAGCCCUACUCAUUCCUCCUCAGGAGGGAUAUGCUCGGUGCACCCAUCACGGCCCCYGGAUCCUCAGUGGACGUUACCAGGCCUUCAGUACGUGUUCAGAGGAUAAAGUAAACCUUUGUCAAUAUAUAAGAAGCCCAAGCAAACUGGAAAAGUGGAUGAUACUACUGAUAAGAGAAGCAUCAUGUUAUAUAAACGCCCAUCCCAUGGGAGGAGCAGGCAGUACG
ensembl:lncRNA